CAAGUUAAAGCUUAAAAAGCAUUUUAGUUACAUUAAAAAGAUUAUUGUUAUUCAGUGUAAUUUGA
rnacentral:tRNA from 1 species